CAUGUAGGCGGCUUAAUAAGUCGAGCGUGAAAAUGCAGGGCUCAACCCCGUAUGGCGCUGGAAACUGUUAGGCUUGAGUGCAGGAGAGGAAAGGGGAAUUCCCAGUGUAGCGGUGAAAUGCGUAGAUAUUGGGAGGAACACCAGUGGCGAAGGCGCCUUUCUGGACUGUGUCCGACGCCGAGAUGCGAAAGCCAGGGUAGCGAACG
rnacentral:rRNA from 1 species